rnacentral:rRNA from 1 species
GCGCAGCUAACGCGAUAAGUAGACCGCCUGGGGAGUACGGUCGCAAGACUAAAACUCAAAUGAAUUGACGGGGGCCCGCACAAGCGGUGGAGCAUGUGGUUUAAUUCGAUGCAACGCGAAGAACCUUACCUGGCCUUGACAUAGUAAGAACUUUCCAGAGAUGGAUUGGUGCCUUCGGGAACUUACAUACAGGUGCUGCAUGGCUGUCGUCAGCUCGUGUCGUGAGAUGUUGGGUUAAGUCCCGCAACGAGCGCAACCCUUUUCCUUAUUUGCCAGCGAGUAAUGUCGGGAACUUUAAGGAUACUGCCAGUGACAAACUGGAGGAAGGCGGGGACGACGUCAAGUC